AGCGUAGACGGUUAAACAAGUCUGGAGUGAAAUCCCAGGGCUCAACCCUGGAACUGCUUUGGAAACUGUUCAACUAGAGUGCAGGAGAGGUAAGUGGAAUUCCUAGUGUAGCGGUGAAAUGCGUAGAUAUUAGGAGGAACACCAGUGGCGAAGGCGGCUUACUGGACUGUAACUGACGUUGAGGCUCGAAAGCGUGGGGAGCAAACA
rnacentral:rRNA from 1 species